rnacentral:rRNA from 1 species
AGUGAACGCUGGCGGUAGGCCUAACACAUGCAAGUCGAACGGCAGCACAGAGGAGCUUGCUCCUUGGGUGGCGAGUGGCGGACGGGUGAGGAAUACAUCGGAAUCUACUCUGUCGUGGGGGAUAACGUAGGGAAACUUACGCUAAUACCGCAUACGAACUACGGGUGAAAGCAGGGGACCUUCGGGCCUUGCGCGAUUGAAUGAGCCGAUGUCGGAUUAGCUAGUUGGCGGGGGAAAGGCCCACCAAGGCGACGAUCCGUAGCGGGGCAGAGAGGAUGAUCAGCCACACUGGAACUGAGACACGGUCCAGACUCCUACGGGAGGCAGCAGUGGGGAAUAUUGGACAAUGGGCGCAAGCCUGAUCCAGCCAUACCGCGUGGGUGAAGAAGGCCUUCGGGUUGUAAAGCCCUUUUGUUGGGAAAGAAAUCCAGCUGGCUAAUACCCGGUUGGGAUGACGGUACCCAAAGAAUAAGCACCGGCUAACUUCGUGCCAGCCGCCGCCGUAA